GGAGCAGUUUGUAGCUCAGUGGUAGAGUGCAUGCUCCGUGUGUACGACGUCUGGGGUUCAAAUCUCAGCUGCUCCC